rnacentral:rRNA from 1 species
AACCUACCUUUAGGUACGGAACAACAGUUGGAAACGACUGCUAAUACCGUAUGUGCCCUAUGGGGGAAAGAUUUAUCGCCUAAGGAUGGGCCCGCGUUGGAUUAGCUAGUUGGUGGGGUAAAGGCCUACCAAGGCGACGAUCCAUAGCUGGUCUGAGAGGAUGAUCAGCCACACUGGGACUGAGACACGGCCCAGACUCCUACGGGAGGCAGCAGUGGGGAAUAUUGGACAAUGGGCGCAAGCCUGAUCCAGCCAUGCCGCGUGAGUGAUGAAGGCCCUAGGGUUGUAAAGCUCUUUCAGCGAGGAGGAUAAUGACGUUACUCGCAGAAGAAGCCCCGGCUAACUUCGUGCCAGCAGCCGCGGUAAUACGAAGGGGGCUAGCGUUGUUCGGAAUCACUGGGCGUAAAGCGCACGUAGGCGGACUUUUAAGUCAGGGGUGAAAUCCCGGGGCUCAACCCCGGAACUGCCUUUGAUACUGGAAGUCUUGAGUCCGAGAGAGGUGAGUGGAACUCCGAGUGUAGAGGUGAAAUUCGUAGAUAUUCGGAAGAAC